rnacentral:rRNA from 1 species
UACGUAGGGUGCGAGCGUUAAUCGGAAUUACUGGGCGUAAAGCGUGCGCAGGCGGUUCGUUAAGUCAGCUGGGAAAGCCCCGGGCUCAACCUGGGAAUUGCGGUUGAAACUGGCGAACUAGAAUCUGGAAGAGGAGAGUGGAAUUCCUGGUGUAGCGGUGAAAUGCGCAGAUAUCAGGAAGAACACCCGUGGCGAAGGCGGCUCUCUGGUACGUGACUGACGCUGAGACGCGAAAGCGUGGGGAGCAAACAGG